UACGUAGGGUGCAAGCGUUGUCCGGAAUUAUUGGGCGUAAAGAGCUCGUAGGCGGUUUGUCGCGUCGGCUGUGAAAUCCCGAGGCUCAACCUCGGGCCUGCAGUCGAUACGGGCAAACUAGAGUGUGGUAGGGGAGACUGGAAUUCCUGGUGUAGCGGUGAAAUGCGCAGAUAUCAGGAGGAACACCGAUGGCGAAGGCAGGUCUCUGGGCAUUAACUGACGCUGAGGAGCGAAAGCAUGGGGAGCGAACAGG
rnacentral:rRNA from 1 species